GAUGAACGCUGGCGGCGUGCCUAAUACAUGCAAGUCGAGCGAACAGACGAGGAGCUUGCUCCUCUGACGUUAGCGGCGGACGGGUGAGUAACACGUAGGUAACCUACCUAUAAGACUGGGAUAACUUCGGGAAACCGGAGCUAAUACCGGAUAAUAUUUUGAACCGCAUGGUUCAAUAGUGAAAGAUGGCUUUGCUGUCACUUAUAGAUGGACCCGCGCCGUAUUAGCUAGUUGGUAAGGUAACGGCUUACCAAGGCAACGAUACGUAGCCGACCUGAGAGGGUGAUCGGCCACACUGGAACUGAGACACGGUCCAGACUCCUACGGGAGGCAGCAGUAGGGAAUCUUCCGCAAUGGGCGAAAGCCUGACGGAGCAACGCCGCGUGAGUGAUGAAGGUCUUCGGAUCGUAAAACUCUGUUAUUAGGGAAGAACAAACGUGUAAGUAACUGUGCACGUCUUGACGGUACCUAAUCAGAAAGCCACGGCUAACUACGUG
rnacentral:rRNA from 1 species